rnacentral:rRNA from 1 species
AACGAACGCUGGCGGCAUGCCUAACACAUGCAAGUCGAACGAGACCUCCGGGCCUAGUGGCGCACGGGGGCGUAACGCGUGGGAACCUGCCCUUAGGUUCGGAAUAACUCACUGAAAGGGGUGCUAAUACCGGAUAAGGUCUUCGGACCAAAGAGUUAUCGCGGUUGGAUGGGCUCGCGAUGGAUUAGCUAGUUGGGAGGGUAAAAGCCGAUCAAGGCUAGGAUCGGUAGCUGGUCUGAGAGGAUGAUCAGCCACACUGGGACUGAGAUACGGCCCAGACCCCUACGCGAGGCAGCAGGGGGGAGUAGUAUACAAGAGGCUGAACCCUGACGUAGCACCGCCGCGUCCGGGAUGUCGUCCUGCCGUUAGGAAAGCGCUGCUCUCUUUGACGGAGCGUUAGUGACGGUAACGGGAAAAGAAGCACCGGCUAACUCCGUG